rnacentral:rRNA from 1 species
AGACCCGAAACCCGGUGAUCUAGCCAUGGGCAGGUUGAAGGUUGGGUAACACUAACUGGAGGACCGAACCGACUAAUGUUGAAAAAUUAGCGGAUGACUUGUGGCUGGGGGUGAAAGGCCAAUCAAACCGGGAGAUAGCUGGUUCUCCCCGAAAGCUAUUUAGGUAGCGCCUCGUGAAUUCAUCUCCGGGGGUAGAGCACUGUUUCGGCAAGGGGGUCAUCCCGACUUACCAACCCGAUGCAAACUGCGAAUACCGGAGAAUGUUAUCACGGGAGACACACGGCGGGUGCUAACGUCCGUCGUGAAGAGGGAAACAACCCAGACCGCCAGCUAAGGUCCCAAAGUCAUGGUUAAGUGGGAAACGAUGUGGGAAGGCCCAGACAGCCAGGAUGUUGGCUUAGAAGCAGCCAUCAUUUAAAGAAAGCGUAAUAGCUCACUGGUCGAGUCGGCCUGCGCGGAAGAUGUAACGGGGCUAAACCAUGCACCGAAGCUGCGGCAGCGACACUGUGUGUUGUUGGGUAGGGGAGCGUUCUGUAAG